GACGAACGCUGGCGGCGUGCUUAACACAUGCAAGUCGAACGGUGACGGAGGAGCUUACUCCUCCUGAUCAGUGGCGAACGGGUGAGUAACACGUGAGCAAUCUGCCCCUGACUCUGGGAUAACUGCGGGAAACUGUAGCUAAUACCGGAUACGACGCGCGAAGGCAUCUUCUGCGCGUGGAAAGAAUUUCGAUCAGGGAUGAGCUCGCGGCCUAUCAGCUUGUUGGUGAGGUAAUGGCUCACCAAGGCGACGACGGGUAGCCGGCCUGAGAGGGUGACCGGCCACACUGGGACUGAGACACGGCCCAGACUCCUACGGGAGGCAGCAGUGGGGAAUAUUGCACAAUGGGCGCAAGCCUGAUGCAGCAACGCCGCGUGAGGGACGACGGCCUUCGGGUUGUAAACCUCUUUUGGCAGGGAAGAAGCGAAAGUGACGGUACCUGCAGAAAAAGCACCGGCUAACUACGUG
rnacentral:rRNA from 1 species